UCCACAACAAUGGCCCAUUCUGA
rnacentral:piRNA from 1 species